AUCUUCUACAUACCUAGUGCAAAAAAGUCUGCAAAAAUUAACAAAAACAUCGACCACCGGUACUAAUCUUGCAGCGAAGCACUGUCACUCUGUCAGGAUAACCGCUGCUACCAUCGAUCACCCGUCAGAGCAUUACGAUGAACCGGGUCAUAAUGUACCGUGAAUCUCUUCCGGGCCAAGCCCACAUCAUCGAUGCGCUUCGAGAUUUUCGUUUCGGGACCCCCGCGCCCCGCUGCCUGCGCCGCGGCUAGGGUGCCUUCUCGCAGGCGCGGCGCGAGUUUGAAAUUUCUCUCUCCACCGCGCUUCCGCGGCAAUCGGCGGCGAUCACUUCGGUCUCUCGGUCACGCCUCGCGGGCGGCAGCUCUCUCUGAUCACCGCUGAAACGAAGUGGCGGAUCGGGUACCCCUCGAGGUAGCAAUCGUUCACUCGAGCAAGUGUGAAUCAGCCGGGGGGCGGGACGCCAAGAUAUGAGCAAAAGCAGAAAGGAGACUGAACUCACCUGAGAUACAUGGGGUUAGAACGCCAUCACCAAUUACCAUGGAUGUUGCCAGGAUUGUUACUAGGAAAAGCAUGACCUUAAAUUUUGGACUGUUUUCCAUCUUGUUCUUGAUCCAAUGAGCCCUCUUGGUACGAUUUGUGGGGGACUCUAACUUGUAGCGAGAGACCAUCGCAUCUUCAGCCUGCUGAUUAGUUAUGCAACUUCAAGCAAUAGAAGGAUUCUUGUCUAAUUGAAUAAGAGGUAACUGGAGAACAUACCUUGGCUGCAUGUGUUGAUACACCAGGGAUCUUUCCAGCCUCCAUAUGCAGUGAAUCGAAUCUCUGUAACCUCUUUGGUUUCAUUUUCUCUGAUGCAAAUUGUGGGUCCACAUCACCAUGAGCAGCUCCAUUGCUGCUUGUGUGCUGAGAUUCAGCCAUCUCUAAGACGUAGGUGCCUGGCUUGCAAUGCUGGAGUAUGAAUGCGCGCUCUCUCCUUUUUCAGAGACCAGUAUGAACAUCUUCUGGGAUAGACAGGAUGCUCGUGCAACAAACAGAUUUCUCAUUGUGUGCUGUUGAAGUCAGAUGCUGUUAUCAUUCACUUCACUUGCCAAAGUCUUCAUUCAACGCGGCAGCCAUGAAUCUUGUGAUGUGCUUUACAUAAGCCAGGAACGUGGAUGGGUGGGAGGGCAUGGUGACUUUUCUUCAUCAGCAGUAGUUGUCACUCGCGAAUAAGUGUGGAGUUGCACUAAAACUUUCCAUAAGCAUCGGCAACAUGGCACUUCAGUUCCAAUUUUACACAUAUACUCACUGACAAUGAAAAAAAAUCCUAUGUAGACGACAUGUAUAAGACUAAAAGAAAAAUCAAUAAAUCAUGUUGAGUGAUA